UACGUAGGGUGCGAGCGUUAAUCGGAAUUACUGGGCGUAAAGCGUGCGCAGGCGGUUUUGUAAGCCAGAUGUGAAAUCCCCGGGCUCAACCUGGGAAUGGCAUUUGGGACUGCAAGGCUCGAGUUUGGCAGAGGAGACUGGAAUUCCUGGUGUAGCAGUGAAAUGCGUAGAUAUCAGGAGGAAUACCGAUGGCGAAGGCAGCACUCUGGGACGUGACUGACGCUGAGACGCGAAAGCGUGGGGAGCAAACAGG
rnacentral:rRNA from 1 species